GCCCAAGAGAUCGGGAUAACACCUGGAAACAGAUNGCUAAUACCGGAUAACAACAGAUGAUGCCUAUAAACUGUUUAAAAGAUGGUUCUGCUAUCACUCUUGGAUGGACCUGCGGUGCAUUAGCUAGUUGGUAGGGUAACGGCCUACCAAGGCGAUGAUACAUAGCCGAGUUGAGAGACUGAUCGGCCACAUUGGGACUAAGACACGGCCCAAACUCCUACGGGAGGCAGCAGAU
rnacentral:rRNA from 1 species